CCAUAUCCUAACUUAUGGGAUGUGGCAUAUCGUUAUCGCGGGACGAGUGGACCUUUGAUACUCUUUCGACUUAAUUCAAGCAUUUUUCAAAACAAACAUUAAUAAAAAUGGAUCGUAUUUUAAUUCUUUUCAAAUUUUCAACAUUCAACGUUAGGACAUUAAUCAAUCAAUUAGGUACCAAUUUUGGGCGUUACCAGGGUGCUAAUCUUUCCUCUUACGUAACCGACUCCCGAGCUCAUUUUCUCGAAUUUCGUAGACCAAAAAGUGUUGUUUUAAUAAAUCAAAACCGUUUAUCAAAAACAACCAUUUUAUGAUGUGACCCGAUCACACCUCAUCAAAAAGGAUUGGUGACGACUCCCAUUUUCAUUUUUAAAAUAAGUCGACGCCCUUUAAAAAAUAGUUUCGAUAGAUACUUUUCAUAAAACAUCGAUACCUUUUGUAGGGCCCAAUUUCUGCCCGGGCCUAAUCAUAAUAGCCCAAAGCAAAAAAGCCCAAACCUAACCCUAGACCUAGCCCACAACCAUUAGCAAAACAGAAGCCAAGUUCAGCGCCACACACCCCUCGCACGCCCCACGUCCGUGCACUCCUCCUCUACGUCUUCAUGGCACCUGCGACUUGAGCAAGAAAAUAGCAAGAAACAAGUUGUAUUCGGCUAUAAAGCUCUCAAAUUUUUAUUGUAAAGGGGGACCUUUUUUUUUUCCUUCCUUUUUUCAUAAAAAUAGAAUACAGAUCUAAAAAAUCAACAAAUAUAUAGAAAAGAAUCCAAAGAAAUCAAAAAGCAAAGGUUGUGUUUUUUUUUUUAGAUUUCUUUUGUUGUUAUUGAUGUUCUCUUUUCAUGGGUUUUAUUUUGAGUUUUUUUUUAAAUAGGACAUAGUGUUUGAAGUGUUUUUUAAAAUAAAAAUAAAGAAAGCGAAAAGGUCGAAGGUACCUGGUUGUGGCUCCUCCGGCCGCCGUUAUUCGUGAUUGAGGCGGAUUAGUAGCAGGGGGUUGAUCCAUUUGUGCCCUAGUAGAGUAGAA
rnacentral:lncRNA from 1 species